CAAAUGUUGUUCACCAGUUCAUCCACAAAGACUUCCAUGAAGCAGUGGCCAAAAUGACCAUAAUAGAUGCUUUUCUCUUCAUUGUAUACACACAAUUCCUUCUACAUCAUAUUAUCAUAACAUGAAUAGUUGUUAUUACAUUAGUGAUAGGAUUAAGACAUCAUUUUCAAAGCAUUAAUUAUCAGAGCUUUAAUUAAGUUAAGAUCAUCACGAAAUGAGUCUGUUUUAUGCAGAUUGUUCAUUCCAUUGACAAGCUGGGGAUAUGGCAUCGUCUACCUGUUUUCUUAGGGCUAUUGUAUCUGGCUAUCAGACGUCACCUUCACCAAGAGUACAACCUCUUCAACGUUGGAACAACACCAACUGGGAUUAGGUUCAACCAUUCAGAUUUUCCAUACAGAACAGCUGAUGGAAAAUAUAAUGAUCNUUUCAAUGAAGUUGCUGGCAGCCAAGGAACUUUCUUUGGCAGAAACAUGCUUCCUGUUGAUCAGAAGAAAAAGGUCAACAAUCAUAGCUAGUUAUAAUAAUUUCAUAAAAUAUCAGUGUUUUUACUGCUAUAGUUUGUUGACUUGUUCUUAUAUGAUUUUGAUCCUUUGAGGAUAGUGAAUUUUGAAGGCAUAGUUUUGUGUGUGUGCAGCUAUUGAAGCCUGAUCCAAUGGUGGUAGCAACAAAACUACUAGCUAGAAGGACAUAUAAGGACACAGGGAAGCAAUUCAACGUGAUUGCAGCUUCUUGGAUUCAGUUCAUGAUUCACGAUUGGAUCGAUCAUCUUGAGGAUACCAAACAGGUCAAUCAAUUUCUAAAACCAUGAUGAUGUUUUUUAUUGUGAUAAUAAGAAGGUAUUUAAUUUAAUUUGUUCAUGAAAUUUUGAUACAUAUUUACAUACAUAUAUAUGCAGAUUGAACUGACUGCACCAAAAGAAGUUGCAGGCCAAUGCCCUCUAAAAUCUUUCAAAUUCUUCAAAACUAAGGAAAUUCCCACUGGAUUCUAUGAGAUAAAAACGGGAUCAUCGAACAUUCGAACACCAUGGUGGUAAGAUUUCUACUGCAGUUUACCUCAGCCAAAAGUUAAAGGUUAAUGUUGAUAAGUUUAUUAUUCCUACUUCUUAUACUGAGUUUAUGACUAACAUAAUUUCAGAAAAAACAGUUUUUAAACGAGGAGCAUAUCUCACUUAUAUAUUAUAAAAGUUUUCGAUAUGUACUAAGUAAUGAUACUGACAGAAAAUUAUAAUUUGAAAAAGGAAAGAAAAGAUAACUUAGAUGAAAAAAAUGGCGGCGUAUAUGCAUGUAGAAAAUUCAAUGCGUGGGGGCACGAUAGCGUUUACAUCUAACAAAAUGGCGGCGAAAGAUAUAAGAUAUGUAAAAAAAAGGUUAAAAUUCAUUAUUCUAAAUUAUGGAUUUUUGUUAUGUUUGUAAUAUUGAUCAAAUAUAUAAAUUUUCGUAUAGACCUAAGAAAAACUCGUCGAGUUAAGUCAGAACAAAAUAUAUUUUGAAAUAAAAGAAUGAGUAUAAGAGUAUGAUUUUUUUUUUUUUUAAAUAUCAUAUCUUUAUAAAAUUAUAUGAACUUUAGGAUUCAUGUCAUAAAAAUAUAAUGAUAUAAUAAAUUAUAUACCAACAAAAUAAAAACUUAUCUUAAAUAAAUAAUAUUAAUAAUAAUAAUAUGAGAUCUUAUCAAUAAUAAUAUUCAAAUCUACUAGAUUUGUCAUGAUUAUAAGAAAUAUUAGUUUUAGUAAAAGUAAUAUCACACUCAUAUUUAUUUGACACAUUUAAUUUGAGUAAAUUGAUCUUAAAAAAGUGAAUUUUUGUAAUUUAAAAAAAAAUAAAAAUAAAAGGUAAGAAAAAGUAGUAUGAAAUGAAUGUAAAAAAAUUAUGUAGGUUAAAGUAUAUUGGACUAAUGUAAAAGUUAAAAGUAGCUGAUAUGAAAGUUAUUGGUAUAUAGUCUCUGAGAGAAGAUGUUUAAGUUGCAUGGAUUUGGUUGGUGAAAUAGGGAUGCAAGUGCUGUGUAUGGAAGCAAUGGAGAAGUUUUACAGAAAGUGAGGACUUUCAAAGAUGGAAAGCUAAAGAUAUCAAAGGAUGGAAACCUUCUGCAUAACGAAAAUGGAACAGCAGUUGCAGGUGACAUCCGCAACAGUUGGGCUGGUGUUUCAACUCUGCAGUCCCUUUUCAUUCAAGAACACAAUGCAGUUUGUGAUUCUCUCAAGGUAUAAUAAUCAUAAAUUUCAUCAUGGAAAAAAACAAUAUUAACCAAUCUUAUUUUAAAAACAAUCUCAUUAAUGAAAAGAAAAUACUAACAAAAUACCUGUUUUUAAUUGUACUGUUUCAGAAAUAUUACCCUCAAUUGAAUGAUGAAGAACUUUAUCGCCAUGCAAGAUUGGUGAUUUCAGCUGUGAUUGCAAAGGUUCACACCAUUGAUUGGACUGUGGAGCUUCUUAAAACUGAUACUCUACUUGCAGGAAUGCGUGCCAACUGGUAAGCCUCUCGACACCACACAAUUCUCUGACACAGUUUACAAAAAGAUUUAUCUACUGAAAUAUUUUCGAGCUGCUUUUUUUAAUUUAUAUUCAAAAUGUUUUUUUUUUAACGUAUAUAGGUAAAAAUGAAAAGCAUUUUACGUAUAAGAG
rnacentral:lncRNA from 1 species